rnacentral:lncRNA from 1 species
GGAUAUCAUGAAUAGGAUUCUUGGCGUGAGUGGGGUUAAAAUUAGCAGGAGAAGGUGUUUUGGGGGGAUACUUGACGGGGGUGAGCUUUACACAACCCAAUCAUUAGAUUGGGGGCUUGGGGUUCGUUCUUGGAUAUUCCCUGUUUGGUAAUUGUUGUGAGUACAUGGUUGAGGAGCAUAGGAGUUGGUGGUGAUGCCUAUUAUGGGUACCGUUGCGAUCCAUGUGGUGGAGUUGCUUUGUGGGAGAUUAGGAGCUCGCCUCAGUCUGAAAUGGAGUGGGUGGUCAUGCUUCACAGGAAUAUGUUAAACGUGCACGCCACUCGCUGAAUUAUGAGGUUUAGGCCUGGGUUGAGACUGGCAAGUGCGGUACCAUGCCUACUGUAGGAUAGAGUAUCAGUGUAAGAGGGAGAGGUGUUGACCUAUAGCCCCCUGAUUUGCUUUUGCCCUGAUUGGCCCUAGUGGGAGUGCUUCACAAUACCAGGGUGUUCCACUACGGGGAUCGCAUCCUAGCCCAGUUGUGGGAUGGUAU